GAUGAACGCUGGCGGCGUGCUUAACACAUGCAAGUCGAACGGAAAGGCUCCUGCUUGCAGGGGUACUCGAGUGGCGAACGGGUGAGUAACACGUGGGUGAUCUGCCCUGCACUUCGGGAUAAGCCUGGGAAACUGGGUCUAAUACCGGAUAGGACGAUGGGUUGGAUGCCAUUGUGGAAAGUUUUUCGGUGUGGGAUGAGCUCGCGGCCUAUCAGCUUGUUGGUGGGGUAAUGGCCUACCAAGGCGUCGACGGGUAGCCGGCCUGAGAGGGUGUACGGCCACAUUGGGACUGAGAUACGGCCCAGCCUCCUACAGGAGGCAGCAGUGGGGAAUAUUGCACAAUGGGCGCAAGCCUGAUGCAGCGACGCCGCGUGGGGGAUGACGGCCUUCGGGUUGUAAACUCCUUUCGCUAGGGACGAAGCGCAAGUGACGGUACCUGGAGAAGAAGCACCGGCUAACUACGUG
rnacentral:rRNA from 1 species